AUGUGUGAUGUCCAGAAGAACAGAAGAUGCCAGGAGACUCCAGAUACAGCAAUGACAAAGAGCAGUCCUGCACCCAACGUUAUCAAACCUUCUAAUUCAAUCAUUAGGAAGUCACCAUCCUCAGUGGGGACCUUUCUCAGACAAUCUAUUCUUCCACCGUUCUUGAGCAACCAAGAUAUUAAAAAGGAAGACUUGAAGUUUCUAUGCUGCUUGACCCAGAAGUUUCUCAUUAUGGAUGUGGGGUUCUUACUUUUGAAGUUAUCUACUGCUGUGAAACAAACCACUCCAAAACCUGUUAGCUCAAAACAACUAUUAUGUAUUACUUUUUAAUUAAUUGCUGACGAAUCUGCGAUUGGGGUAGGGCUAGCAGGGAUAGCCCCUCCCUUCUCCACGUGGUGUCAGCUGGCGGGGCUCAAGAUGACUCAAUCACAUGUAGCAAGAUAGUGCUGGCUGUAGGCUGGGAGCUUAGCUGGGUUGUCAUUUGGGGACCUCUGUUCCUCUCUGUGUGGACCCCUCCUCUGAGUUUGUUUGGCUUCUUCACAAAAUGGAGGCUGAGUAGAGGAAACUCAGAAAAGAAAUGUGUUUCAAGAGGCCCAGCAGGAAGCUACAAAACUUCCGACCCAGCUUCAAGUCUCAGAAUGCCACCUUUGCCACAUCAAUCAAGCGAGUCACUUAGCUGAGAUUCAAGGCAGGAAAAAGGAGUCUCUUAAAGGAAAGAGUAACAGAAUUUCAAGACAUUUGUAAUUUACCAUGUCCUGUUUUUAUCCAAGUCCUGCUACGUCUACCAUCACAACAUCUCUCAAAUCCAUUCUUCAUGCUAUUAUCCACUCAAAUUUUCUUGUACAGACCAGAAAAAAACUUCAUCAGCAGUGCCAAUGAAUCAGGGAAGGAGAUGUAUAAGACCCUUUCAGGAAUGUGCUGGACUGACUCAAAAUGACACAAAGUCAACUUUGAAUUAACUGAGACCCUGGGAGAGGUUGAAGGAAAAAGACGCUUUCAUGGGAGGUUCCACCAUUGCCAUUGUCAUCUUUUUUCUUAUAAUCACCCAUAAAAUCAUUCACUAAACUUUUAUUUUUACUCGUGAUUUUCUCUCUCUCUCUUUUUUCCUUUGAGACAGUCUCACUCUGUUGCCCUGGCUGGAGUGCAAUGGCAAGAUCUGAGCUCUCCGCAACCUCCGCCUCCCAGUUCAAGCAAUUCCCCUGCCUAAGUCUUCUGAGUAGCUGAGAUUACAGGUUUCCUCCGUCAUGCCCAGCUAAUUUUUUUUUUAAUUUUUAGUAGGGACAGGGCUUUUUUUUUAUACCAUGUUGGCUAGGCUGGUCUCAAACUCCUGGCCUCAAGUGAUCCAUCUGCCUUGGCCUCCCAAAGUGCUGGAAUUACAGGUAUA
rnacentral:lncRNA from 1 species